rnacentral:rRNA from 1 species
AGUGAACGCUGGCGGUAGGCCUAACACAUGCAAGUCGAACGGCAGCACGGUAAGAGCUUGCUCUUACGGGUGGCGAGUGGCGGACGGGUGAGGAAUACAUCGGAAUCUACUUUUUCGUGGGGGGUAACGUAGGGAAACUUACGCUAAUACCGCAUACGACCUACGGGUGAAAGCAGGGGAUCUUCGGACCUUGCGCGAUUGAAUGAGCCGAUGUCGGAUUAGCUAGUUGGCGGGGUAAAGGCCCACCAAGGCGACGAUCCGUAGCUGGUCUGAGAGGAUGAUCAGCCACACUGGAACUGAGACACGGUCCAGACUCCUACGGGAGGCAGCAGUGGGGAAUAUUGGACAAUGGGCGCAAGCCUGAUCCAGCCAUACCGCGUGGGUGAAGAAGGCCUUCGGGUUGUAAAGCCCUUUUGUUGGGAAAGAAAAGCAGCAGGUUAAUACCCCGCUGUUCUGACGGUACCCAAAGAAUAAGCACCGGCUAACUUCGUG